rnacentral:rRNA from 1 species
GUGAAAUUCCGUCGGAAUCUGGGAGGACCAUCUCCUAAGGCUAAAUACUCUCUAGUGACCGAUAGUGAACCAGUACCGUGAGGGAAAGGUGAAAAGCACCCCGGAAGGGGAGUGAAAUAGAACCUGAAACCGUGUGCUUACAAGUAGUCAGAGCCCGUUAAUGGGUGAUGGCGUGCCUUUUGUAGAAUGAACCGGCGAGUUACGAUUUGAUGCAAGGUUAAGCAGUAAAUGUGGAGCCGUAGCGAAAGCGAGUCUGAAUAGGGCGUUUAGUAUUUGGUCGUAGACCCGAAACCAGGUGAUCUACCCUUGGUCAGGUUGAAGUUCAGGUAACACUGAAUGGAGGACCGAACCGACUUACGUUGAAAAGUGAGCGGAUGAACUGAGGGUAGCGGAGAAAUUCCAAUCGAACCUGGAGAUAGCUGGUUCUCUCCGAAAUAGCUUUAGGGCUAGCCUCAAGUGAUGAUUAUUGGAGGUAGAGCACUGUUUGGACGAGGGGCCCCUCUCGGGUUACCGAAUUCAGACAAACUCCGAAUGCCAAUUAAUUUAACUUGGGAGUCAGAACAUGGGUGAUAAGGUCCAUGUUCGAAAGGGAAACAGCCCAGACCACCAGCUAAGGUCCCAAAAUAUAUGUUAAGUGGAAAAGGAUGUGGCGUUGCCCAGACAACUAGGAUGUUGGCUUAGAAGCAGCCAUCAUUUAAAGAGUGCGUAAUAGCUCACUAGUCGAGUGACACUGCGCCGAAAAUGUACCGGGGCUAAACAUAUUACCGAAGCUGUGGAUUGUCCUUUGGACAAUGGUAGGAGAGCGUUCUAAGGGCGUUGAAGCAUGAUCGUAAGGACAUGUGGAGCGCUUAGAAGUGAGAAUGCCGGUGUGAGUAGCGAAAGA